CGGAGGGGGCGAGCGUUAUUCGGAAUUAUUGGGCGUAAAGGGCGCGUAGGCGGCCCUGCAAGUCAAAGGUGAAAUCCCUCGGCUCAACUGAGGAACUGCCUUUGAAACUGCAGGGCUUGAGUCCGGAGGGGGUAGCGGAAUUCCCAGUGUAGCGGUGAAAUGCGUAGAUAUUGGGAGGAACACCAGUGGCGAAGGCGGCUACCUGGACCGGAACUGACGCUGAUGCGCGAAAGCGUGGGUAGCAAACAGGAUUAGAUACCCUGGUAGUCCACGCUGUAAACGAUGGGUGCUCGGUGUCGCGGGUAUCGACCCCUGCGGUGCCUUAGCCAACGCGUUAAGCACCCCGCCUGGGGAGUACGGUCGCAAGGCUG
rnacentral:rRNA from 1 species